UCCGUCUACUCACGUCCCCUAGUCAGCCUCUCACUCUCUACCCGCUGGGCGGUACCCCGCAUCUCGCUCUGGCCGCCCCAGAGGUUCGCGGCUUCUGGACCUGCUGUGCCCCUCUCCAGCCUGGAUCAGGACGGAGAACACCCCCGAAACCCACCUCACCAGCACAGCCGGCGGACCCUUCCGGAGGUGGCCGCAGAGACUAGCCAACUUGCGCGCCCGCCGACCCGGACCACAGCUCCCAGCACACCUCAAGGGCCCACGCCCGCCAGGACUACAAUUCCCGGCGUCCUCCGGAAGCUCAAGUGUACCCAGGCGCGGUGCCUGCUGGGAAUUGUAGUUGACGUUGGUCAGCACGGAGGCCACAGGAUCCCAGCCCGGCCUUUGUGGGACUGAGGUGGCGCUGAGUGGGAGAGCAGCAGGCGAUGCGCGAAAGGCGGGACUUGGAGGUUCUGGAUGUUCCUGUGGAUAACCUCAAGGAGCACGGGACCUGGGACAUGACUGCCCCCAGCAUUCCUUCUGGCGGCAGACAGAGUUUGUCAGUUCGCCAACAUCCUGCUUUCAUGAGAACAGUUUGCUGUUUGCUCACAGAGCCUCCAGUGGUAUACUGAGUUGGUCACGACCCUCAUUCCUUCGGCCUCCAACAUCUCCCCUUUUGUUUUUGCAUUAAUUGAAUAAAGGUAAUUUCAGGCUGUGCAGCUUUCAAUUGCCGGUUGGUGGUUCACCCGAUCCUAUAGACUAUGAGCAAAAAAACAGAGACAUAACAACAUUAUUCUUGUAAUUAUUAUAAAAGAGACAUUGAAGUUAUGUUUAAGG
rnacentral:lncRNA from 1 species